rnacentral:rRNA from 1 species
AGUGAACGCUGGCGGUAGGCCUAACACAUGCAAGUCGAACGGCAGCACAGUAAGAGCUUGCUCUUACGGGUGGCGAGUGGCGGACUGGUGAGGAAUACAUCGGAAUCUACUUUUUCGUGGGGGAUAACGUAGGGAAACUUACGCUAAUACCGCAUACGACAUACGGGUGAAAGCAGGGGAUCUUCGGACCUUGCGCGAUUGAAUGAGCCGAUGUCGGAUUAGCUAGUUGGCGGGGUAAAGGCCCACCAAGGCGACGAUCCGUAGCUGGUCUGAGAGGAUGAUCAGCCACACUGGAACUGAGACACGGUCCAGACUCCUACGGGAGGCAGCAGUGGGGAAUAUUGGACAAUGGGCGCAAGCCUGAUCCAGCAAUACCGCGUGGGUGAAGAAGGCCUUCGGGUUGUAAAGCCCUUUUGUUGGGAAAGAAAAGCAGCAGGUUAAUACCCCGCCGUUCUGACGGUACCCAAAGAAUAAGCACCGGCUAACUUCGUG